rnacentral:rRNA from 1 species
UACGUAGGGGGCAAGCGUUGUCCGGAUUUAUUGGGCGUAAAGAGCGCGUAGGCGGCUAGGUAGGUCUGCUGUGAAAACUCGAGGCUUAACCUCGAGCUGUCGGCGGAAACCAUCUGGCUAGAGUCCGGAAGAGGAGAAUGGAAUUCCCGGUGUAGCGGUGAAAUGCGCAGAUAUCGGGAAGAACACCCGUGGCGAAGGCGGUUCUCUGGGACAGUACUGACGCUGAGACGCGAAAGCGUGGGGAGCGAACAGG